UACGAGGGGGGCGAGCGUUGUUCGGAAUUAUUGGGCGUAAAGGGUGCGUAGGCGGUUUGGUAAGUCUUAUGUGAAAUCUAUGGGCUCAACUCAUAGACUGCAUGAGAAACUGCCGGGUGAGUAUGGGGAGAGGUGAGUGGAAUUCCUGGUGUAGCGGUGAAAAUGCGUAGAUAUCAGGAGGAACACCUGUGGCGAAAAGCGGGCUCACUGGACCAUAACUGACGCUGAUGCACGAAAAGCUAGGGGAGCAAACAGG
rnacentral:rRNA from 1 species